rnacentral:lncRNA from 1 species
GUGAAACAGAGACGAGGAAACUUGGAAAAUUCGUAUCCGUUUGAUGGAACUCGGUGAUAUCUUUGGGCACAGUAAGAACAAAUCUUACACUGUGUAUCACUAGGCUGUUACGCCGUGACGCAAUUACGAAACUCACGGUGGAUCACUGUCAAGAAGACAGGAGAAACGCGGAGGAGGCGUGACGGAUCGAAAGGAAUCGCAUUACGAAGCGAACAUCGCCGAGAAGCGCUUCGUACUGGGGCCCUCUUAUCAUAGUCUGCUCGUCGUACCUGACAACGUUUACAAGUAACACUCGUGCACUCGCCCCGGUACACGAAUAAACAUCCGAGUACAUUCGUGCAGGUGCAUACAUACACGCGAGAGUAAAUUGAGUGCGCGUAAUCGUGGAUCUGGCAAGAAGAAAUGGAUGAACAAUGCGCCAGACGUGGUUGUCGCUGAGUACGCUGCUUAUUUUACUGUUAUGGUUGGAAAAGGAAGUUUCCUUUGCUCCUUAAUUUAAUGGAUAGAAGCAUUGACCGUAGUGUAAUUAACUUGUGCAAGUGGAAUUUUGUUUGCCCGAUAAGGCAGCACAUACGUUCGUUUUUGCAGGACUUUAAGUUAUAAUACAGGGUGCUCCAGAAGUCGUAAUGCAGCAUUAAAACAAGUUGCGGUAAAGAAAUUGACCACCACGCCCCACGAUCAAAUGAACGCAUCAGCAAUAAUAUUAAGAUGCCUAUAAUUGAUUGCAUAAUGAAUUUUUAAAAAAUUCUUCAUUUUACAAUGAUAAUACCAAAUGGCUUGAACGGAAAGUUCAGCGUGGGGCGUAUACGCCCCACGUGGCAGGGAGCGUAUUAAGUGCACGUGUACUUAACCAGCCAUGAGUUGUUUAAUUCGUUCAACCUAGCGCCAAAUAGGCGAAUGAAAACGGAAAACGACAGAGGGGAUAUUAACUGGUAUGAUUGAAAGGAAUAGGGUAUAAUACGUGUCGAUUUGUAGCUAUGAACACCUCUGGUUGUGUUUAUGGAUAUCACCCAGGAGUUGAUGUAAUUUUACAUAAAGCGAUUUCGGUAAUUUAUUUAUUCUAAUAAUAUACGAAACCUUGGAAAUGUUCUCGACAUCAUGAAUAAAUUGCAGGAUAGUACACGGAGUACCACAGAGAGUAUAAAAAGCGACGUGGAAGACCAAAAAGUAAUCUAAUUAAUAAAUGUGUCAUACACGAUACCUUGCAAUUAAUGAAAGAACAGGUGGUCAAGCAUGAUGGAAAACUGGUAAAUUAAUUUCCCAGUGGCGAGGAACUGCAGAGAUAUUCGCAGUUUACAUCUCUUGAGAGUUUGAGAUCUAAUAAUAAUUGUCACUUGACUGAACUCGGUAAUUAUUUCUUAUCAGAACAGCAAUUUAAUAAAUGCUUUAUGGCGUCAUUAGGUUCCUUUACUGCACGUUUUAUCCGCAAGUCGAGUAAUAAAACAAACGAACGGAAGACUAUAUCUACAGGUAUAUAUUCAAAAAGUCUAUAAAAGGAAACUAACUUCCUUUAGAUGAAGAUAAGAGGCCAUUAAUUCUUCUCCACAUAAAUUAUCUUUCUUGCGAAUGAAAACUGAUGGCACACAAUUGAAGAUCGGACCUAAUAAAAAAUAGAAUUUUGAGAGUUUUCAAGAGUUUAUAAUCUCUCUUAUAAAAAAACACGAUACGAAGAAAUCGAAGUUUUAUAAAAAAAAAAAAAAAAAAAAACGAUACUUAACAAGGAACGAAUGACCUCGACAAUCCAAACAUCACGCUUCUUCUAAGAACAGCAUACCUUCUUCAAAAAUAGAAUCGUGUUUAGGGAAGAAAAAAGGACAGUCUCUAUGAAAAUAGAAAUGCCUUCAUAGAAAUUACAGAACUUUUAAAAAUAGAAGUACCAAGAACCAUUUUCCCGGAUCGAAUAUAAAAGGUUCGGGUAUAACCUAAUUUUCGGUGAAAAAUGGAGUACCCAGAAGCACGUCUUUCGGCUGAAAGUUAAAACGACAAAUGCAUCUCCAAUUCCGUAAUAACGUCACUUUAAGAACUUCCAACUUCGCGAAGGCCAUGCACGCACGAUCUCUCUUCAUACGUAACGAAUAACAAAAACAUCGCCAUCGUGGUACUCGCGAUUAGUAGCGAUCAACGCCGCAACCACCGUUUCCGUCUCGAAUUACGUUUGCACAGCAGUAGAAAAACAUUCAACGCAAGUACGAAAUCGAACGUUAUUUUGCUUUAUCGGCAAUAUUUUCUACGUUUCCUCCCUCCUCUAUCGGGUGAACAGCAAUUUCCAUUGCGGUACUGCACAUUUUCGAAGAAAUCUUACGUUAUCUAGAUUUGAAGCUAAUUGUAAGUUUAAAGACAAAUUAUCAAUCAAAGA